GCAUCAGUGGUUCAGUGGUAGAAUUCCCACCUUGCAUGUGGGAGACCUGAGUUCAAUUCCCAGCCAGUACA
rnacentral:tRNA from 1 species